rnacentral:rRNA from 1 species
UCGGGAAUCUUCCGCAAUGGGCGAAAGCCUGACGGAGCGACGCCGCGUGAGUGAUGAAGGCCUUCGGGUUGUAAAGCUCUGUGGGGAGAGAAGAAUAAGUUCAAGCGAAUACCUUGAAUGAUGACGGUAUCUCCUUAGCAAGCACCGGCUAACUCUGUGCCAGCAGCCGCGGUAAGACAGAGGGUGCAAACGUUGUUCGGAUUUACUGGGCGUAAAGCGCGUGUAGGCGGCUUUGCAAGUCGGAUGUGAAAGCCCACGGCUCAACCGUGGAAGUGCAUCCGAAACUGCAUGGCUGGAGUCCCGGAGAGGAAGGUGGAAUGCUUGGUGUAGAGGUGAAAUUCGUAGAUAUCAAGCAGAACACCUGCGGCGAAGGCGGCCUUCUGGACGGUGACUGACGCUG